rnacentral:lncRNA from 1 species
CCUUCCACUCUCUAUUUAAUAUGGAUCUUAGGUAGAGUCCAAACUUUGAAACCUUCACCUACUUGCUCAACAACCAAUUUCCACAAUGUCCUCACACCUCUACCGAUGUGGGACAUGUCUUCUUCGAUGACCUUGGGAGGAUGUUUCUACCUGUACCUGUUACCUGAGUCCACAACCUCUAUUUUUAUAUCAUAUUCUUCUAUGUAUCCCUUCUGACAUUACAUGGAUGCUCCUCAUCCUCCCAAUAAAAAUUCUACCAUCGGCAUUUCUCCUCUCCUACUGAAGAUUCUACCAUCGAUGCUUCUCCUCCAUCACAUUUCACUUAUCCAUACUCGUAUAGAUACCCAUAUGAUGCUCCUCUAUAUGGAUUGUAUGGUGCUCCUCCCUCGUUCUCUCCCCUGUUUGGUGCUUCUCCCCCAUACAAUGCUCAUCCUUCAAUUCAUCCUUUUGCAUGCACAAUAGUGCCCCAACCAGAGACAACGAUGCCGCUCUGAACCAGUCUGCUUACUCCGGUGCUUAUCAGUUCCAAUGGCAAAUGGAUUAAACAAAGACAGAGGACAAAGACAAAGCAGAAAAUGUUGGUAAG